rnacentral:rRNA from 1 species
UGGGGAAUAUUGCACAAUGGGCGCAAGCCUGAUGCAGCCAUGCCGCGUGUAUGAAGAAGGCCUUCGGGUUGUAAAGUACUUUCAGCGGGGAGGAAGGGAGUAAAGUUAAUACCUUUGCUCAUUGACGUUACCCGCAGAAGAAGCACCGGCUAACUCCGUGCCAGCAGCCGCGGUAAUACGGAGGGUGCAAGCGUUAAUCGGAAUUACUGGGCGUAAAGCGCACGCAGGCGGUUUGAUAAGUCAGAUGUGAAAUCCCCGGUCUCAACCUGGGAACUGCAUCUGAUACUGGCAAGCUUGAGUCUCGUAGAGGGGGGUAGAAUUCCAGGUGUAGCGGUGAAAUGCGUAGAGAUCUGGAGGAAUACCGGUGGCGAAGGCGGCCCCCUGGACGAAGACUGACGCUCAGGUGCGAAAGCGUGGGGAGCAAACA